UGUUUCCUGCCUGGAUGUUGACUUUUGAAACUCAGAUAUUAGAUCAAGCUUCUCAAUACAAAGCCCAGAUCAAGCUUUUCAACACAAAAAGCCAUCAGCCUCAACAAAAUCCUAGGAAGCAGAAUUCAAGCAGUGAAGGAUAAUGUUUUGUUUAAGUUGUCAGUGUUCACCCUUCAAAAAUGUAAAAUAUAAUUCCAAAUCAAAAUCCAA
ensembl:lncRNA LINC00363 long intergenic non-protein coding RNA 363